GAUGAACGCUGACAGAAUGCUUAACACAUGCAAGUCGAACGAUGAAGCCCAGCUUGCUGGGUGGAUUAGUGGCGAACGGGUGAGUAACACGUGAGCAACCUGCCCCUGACUCUGGGAUAAGCGCUGGAAACGGCGUCUAAUACUGGAUAUGUCCCGUCACCGCAUGGUGUGCGGGUGGAAAGAUUUUUCGGUUGGGGAUGGGCUCGCGGCCUAUCAGCUUGUUGGUGAGGUAAUGGCUCACCAAGGCGUCGACAGGUAGCCGGCCUGAGAGGGUGACCGGCCACACUGGGACUGAGACACGGCCCAG
rnacentral:rRNA from 1 species